CCUACGGGAGGCAGCAGUGAGGAAUAUUGGUCAAUGGGCGCGAGCCUGAACCAGCCAAGUCGCGUGAGGGAAGACGGUCCUAUGGAUUGUAAACCUCUUUUGUCGGGGAGCAAAAGACGCCACGCGUGGCGUUCCGAGAGUACCCGAAGAAAAAGCAUCGGCUAACUCCGUGCCAGCCGCCGCGGUAAUACGGGGGAUGCGAGCGUUAUCCGGAUUUAUUGGGUUUAAAGGGUGCGCAGGCGGAAGAUCAAGUCAGCGGUAAAAUUGAGAGGCUCAACCUCUUCGAGCCGUUGAAACUGGUUUUCUUGAGUGAGCGAGAAGUAUGCGGAAUGCGUGGUGUAGCGGUGAAAUGCAGAGAUAUCACGCAGAACUCCGAUUGCGAAGGCAGCAUACCGGCGCUCAACUGACGCUCAUGCACGAAAGUGUGGGUAUCGAACAGGAUUAGAUACCCCAGUAGUC
rnacentral:rRNA from 1 species